GUUGUGAGGCUACUGCAGCAUCCAGGCUCUUCGUCAGCAUAAAGGAAAAGUGGGUGCUAAAGACUAGCAAGGCAGUGUGGCUAGCUGAGCACACACUACCUGCUGAGUAUGCCAGCAGCCGGGGUUCACACGCACAUUUCCAUGGAGUGUUCCCCAGGACUCAGAGAGCUGUCGUGCUGAAGGAGCUCUUUUCACUGCUAAGAAUGAACUCAGACUUCCUUCAAGCAGAAACUGUCGUGACUUCUUUCAUACUGCCUUCCCCUACCCAAUGAAGGGGCCUGCUGCAAUCAGAAAACAAGCUUUGAAGACCAUGACUGUGAGCUUAGCACUCAAGAGGCUGCGAAGGGAGAACUGCUUGGGGUUCAAGGCUACCCUGGACUACAGAUGAUGUACCUACCCACCUGUUGUGACUGGUUUGAGGACUUUUCUUCUAGAGCAGGGGUUCUAACCCUUCCUAACUCUGCAACCCUUUAAUAAACUUCCUCACGUUGUUAUGCUCUCCAACCAUAAAA